rnacentral:rRNA from 1 species
GACGAACGCUGGCGGCGUGAUUAACACAUGCAAGUCGAACGGUGAAGCGCCUUCCUUUUUGGUGGGUGUGGAUGAGUGGCGAACGGGUGAGUAACACGUGAGUAACCUGCCCCCUUCUUCUGGAUAACCGCAUGAAAGUGUGGCUAAUACGGGAUAUUCUGGGUCUGUCGCAUGAUGGGUCUGGGAAAGAUAUUGUUUCGGUGGGGGAUGGGCUCGCGGCCUAUCAGCUUGUUGGUGGGGUGAUGGCCUACCAAGGCGGUGACGGGUAGCCGGCCUGAGAGGGUGGACGGUCACACUGGGACUGAGACACGGGCCAGACUCCUACGGGAGGCAGCAGUGGGGAAUAUUGCACAAUGGGCGCAAGCCUGAUGCAGCGACGCCGCGUGAGGGAUGGAGGCCUUCGGGUUGUGAACCUCUUUCGCCAGUGAAGCAGGCCUGCCUCGUUUGUGGGUGGGUUGACGGUAGCUGGAUAAGAAGCGCCGGCUAACUACGUG